rnacentral:rRNA from 1 species
AACGAACGCUGGCGGCGUGCCUAAUACAUGCAAGUCGAACGGGGAAAGCUUUCGGGUGAGUACUAGUGGCGCACGGGUGAGUAACGCGUGGAUAAUCUGCCUUAGAGUGGGGGAUAACUAGUCGAAAGAUUAGCUAAUACCGCAUAAGACCACAAGAACUGCGGUUCAAGGGGUCAAAGGUUUUUCGCUCUAAGAUGAGUCCGCGUAAGAUUAGCUAGUUGGUAGGGUAACGGCCUACCAAGGCGACGAUCUUUAACUGGUCUGAGAGGAUGAUCAGUCACACUGGAACUGAGACACGGUCCAGAUUCCUACGGGAGGCAGCAGUAGGGAAUAGUGCACAAUGGAGGAAACUCUGAUGCAGCGACGUCGCGUGAGUGAUGAAGGCCUUCGGGUCGUAAAGCUCUGUCGCAGGGGAAUAACACAAUGAAGGUACCCUGUAAGAAAGGAUCGGCUAACUUCGUGCCAGCCGCCGCGGUAAGAC